CUGAGACAGGCCAGCUCUUCCCCAGGUGACGGCUUUCUGUAGAGAACCUUGAGGCUGUAAGGAGUCUCCUCUGUUAGCCCUUCCUGAAACGUGGCGCUACGGCGGGGGGCGGGGGNCAACCUGGCCCGUGGCUGCCCAUACCCUGGACCCUGAGGCCAAGGAGGAGAUGGGGCAGGGCAGGAGUCUGGACACUACUGAGCCUAGAAGCGUUAAGAGUAACUCAAUGUUCUCUCUUAAUUCUCCUUGCCAGAAUUGGGCGCCCCCAGGCUGUGAAAAGUUAGGGAAGUGCCUGACACCCCCGGAGUCCAUCCCGGAGAAGUGCUUCUGGCCCCACUAGCACCUGCUCGUGUUCCAGCCAGGCCUGGGCUCUCCUACUGGCCCUGCAAAUGCCUGCGGGGAGGAAGGCUCUGGCCUCAGGGCUCCUGAGCUGGAAGAGCCCCAACUGUUCUCUGCCCUGCCUGCGCCAGACAGACGUUACCUACAGGUGACAGCAGGACCUGCACGUGCCCGCGGUCUCCCAGCCCUCCUCCUGGCCCACCCCAACUUGCCACGGCAGCCCACAGCCUCGGCCCAGCCCCAAAGCUGAAUGCACUUGCUCAGGGCCCUGCCUCCAUCCCGGGAUCCAAAAGGCGGAGCUGUCCCCUCCCAUGUGUGAGUCCCACUGUCAAAGUUGGCCAUGCCAAUCCUGCUUGAGCCCCUUGGCACCAUCCUGCUAGGAGGGAGUUGUGAAUGUGGAAGGGGGGUUGGCAGCAGCCAAGGAAGGCCUCCCUGGUCCGGUGAGGACAGAGGGAUGCUAGCACCUUCGUUUUAACACCUACCUUAGGGAUGCUGUCCUGGUGCCCUGCAUGGCGAGCGGGUGCCUCCCUUCCAGCCGCCCGUUACCUGGUGUGGCACGGUGCGG
rnacentral:lncRNA from 1 species